rnacentral:lncRNA from 1 species
GCCCCCCCCCCCCCAACCCCCCCCCGCUCCCGCCCCGUGCGGUGGCAGGAUUCCUCUUCUCACCAGUGUCUCUUACCAUUUCCCUUGCUGCAACGCUGCAUCUCUUUCCUCCCUCCAACCACCCGGACCACCAGCCGCACACUCCACUGAUUCUCCAUGCUUCAUCUGUAAUGUCGGACUUACUAACGAGGCUGAAACUUCAGAUUUCGGAGCAGAGAAGAUGGUUUGGAGCAGAGGACCGGCGUGGAUAUCCAAGUCUGGACUGGGUUACCUCUGCAUCCGUCUCUGUUGCAAUAUCAGCAAGAACAAGCCAGGAUGGCGUGCAGAUUGUUUUAAUUUGCACUGGGGGACUGUCUUUGGAUCUAUGAAUAAGAAAGCAUCUUUAAAUACUCCCUGCCUCUACUGA